rnacentral:rRNA from 1 species
UACGUAGGGUGCAAGCGUUAAUCGGAAUUACUGGGCGUAAAGCGUGCGCAGGCGGUUCUAUAAGACAGAUGUGAAAUCCCCGGGCUCAACCUGGGAACUGCAUUUGUGACUGUAGAGCUGGAGUGCGGCAGAGGGGGAUGGAAUUCCACGUGUAGCAGUGAAAUGCGUAGAGAUGUGGAGGAACACCGAUGGCGAAGGCAGCCCCCUGGGCUAACACUGACGCUCAUGCACGAAAGCGUGGGGAGCAAACAGG